ACUAGUGAUUAGAGUUUGAUCCUGGCUCAGGAUGAACGCUAGCGGCGUGCCUAACACAUGCAAGUCGAACGCGCAGCCGGAUUCUUCGGAAGCCGGUGGGCGAGUGGCGAACGGGUGAGUAACACGUAGGUGACCUGCCCCGAAGUGGGGGAUAAUCCUUCGAAAGGGGGACUAAUCCCGCAUGUGCUCCGUAGGGUUAGAGUCUUACGGAGUAAAGCUCCGGCGCUUUGGGAGGGGCCUGCGGCCGAUUAGCUAGUUGGUGGGGUAAUGGCCUACCAAGGCUGUGAUCGGUAGCUGGUCUGAGAGGACGGUCAGCCACACUGGCACUGAGACACGGGCCAGACUCCUACGGGAGGCAGCAGUGAGGAAUAUUGCGCAAUGGGCGAAAGCCUGACGCAGCAACGCCGCGUGGGUGAUGAAGGCCUUCGGGUCGUAAAACCCUUUUCUGGGGGAUGAGGAAGGACGGUACCCCAGGAAUAAGUCUCGGCUAACUACGUGCCAGCAGCCGCGGUAAAACGUAGGAGGCAAGCGUUAUCCGGAUUUACUGGGCGUAAAGCGCGCGCAGGCGGCUCCGUAAGUCGGACGUGAAAGCCCCUGGCUUAACUGGGGGAGGUCGUUCGAUACUGUGGGGCUUGAGGUCGGGAGAGGGAAGCGGAAUUCCCGGUGUAGUGGUGAAAUGCGUAGAUAUCGGGAGGAACACCAGUGGCGAAGGCGGCUUCCUGGCCCGCACCUGACGCUAAGGCGCGAAAGCGUGGGUAGCGAACGGGAUUAGAUACCCCGGUAGUCCACGCCCUAAACGAUGGCAACUAGGUGUUGGGGGCUAUUAACCCCCUCAGUGCCGAAGCAAACGCGAUAAGUUGCCCGCCUGAGGACUACGAGCGCAAGCUUAAGACUCAAAGGAAUUGACGGGGACCCGCACAAGCAGCGGAGCGUGUGGUUUAAUUCGAUGCAACACGAAGAACCUUACCUGGGCUUGACAUGACCGUAGUAGUGAAGCGUAAGCAGAACGAGCCUGUAUAGGCAGCGGCCACAGGUGCUGCAUGGCUGUCGUCAGCUCGUGCCGUGAGGUGUUGGGUUAAGUCCCGCAACGAGCGCAACCCCUGCUGUUAGUUACAAGUGUCUAACGGGACUGCCGGUUUAACGCCGGAGGAAGGUGGGGACGACGUCAAGUCAGCAUGGCCUUUAUGUCCAGGGCUACACACACGCUACAAUGGCCGGUACAAUGGGUUGCCAAGUCGCGAGGCGGAGCCAAUCCCAUCAAAGCCGGUCUCAGUUCGAAUUGGAGUCUGCAACCCGACUCCAUGAAGUUGGAGUUGCUAGUAACCGCCGGUCAGCCAUACGGCGGUGAAUACGUUCCCGGGUCUUGUACACACCGCCCGUCACGUCAUGGGAGCCGGUAACACCUGAAGCCGGUGGGCUAACCCGAACGGGAGGCAGCUGUCGAAGGUGGGACUGGUAACUGGGACGAAGUCGUAACAAGGUAACCAA
rnacentral:rRNA from 1 species